GAUGAACGCUGGCGGCGUGCCUAAUACAUGCAAGUCGAGCGAAUGGAUUAAGAGCUUGCUCUUAUGAAGUUAGCGGCGGACGGGUGAGUAACACGUGGGUAACCUGCCCAUAAGACUGGGAUAACUCCGGGAAACCGGGGCUAAUACCGGAUAACAUUUUGAACCGCAUGGUUCGAAAUGGAAAGUCGGCUUCGGCUGUCACUGAUGGAUGGACCCGCGUCGCAUUAGCUAGUUGGUGAGGUAACGGCUUACCAAGGCAACGAUGCGUAGCCGACCUGAGAGGGUGAUCGGCCACACUGGGACUGAGACACGGCCCAGACUCCUACGGGAGGCAGCAGUAGGGAAUCUUCCGCAAUGGACGAAAGUCUGACGGAGCAACGCCGCGUGAGUGAUGAAGGCUUUCGGGUCGUAAAACUCUGUUGUUAGGGAAGAACAAGUGCUAGUUGAAUAAGCUGGCACCUUGACGGUACCUAACCAGAAAGCCACGGCUAACCACGUGCCAGCCGCCGCAGUAA
rnacentral:rRNA from 1 species